ensembl:lncRNA
CCCCGGCCCCCCGGGGGCCUGGGCAAUGUCUCGGAUUCCUCCCGCGCCCCCUGGUACCUCGGAUUGAGCUCCACUCCCAGGAACGCGCGCUGACCCCGCCGACCUCCGCGAUCCCCUGGCCCAGAUCUACCCCCUCAGGUCCCCAGGCUCGUCCUGCCUGCACGGCUUGGCUCUGACCUUGCUUUGCUUUCAGUAAGGAUGGAGCAGAGCUGGGGGAGGAGGCGUAAACGGCAACAGAAAAGAACCCCAGAAUUUUCAGGCUCCUCUGUCCAUGAAAUUUCUCAGGCAAGAAUACUGGAGC